UUGGACCUGAUAUCAGGCAAGAUUACCCGC
rnacentral:rRNA from 4 species